rnacentral:tRNA from 1 species
GGUUGCUUAGUUCAGUUGGUUAGAACGCUUCGUUCACAUCGAAGAGGUCAGUGGUUCGAGUCCACUAGCAACCA